AUGCAAGUCGAACGGUAACAGGCAAGCAGCUUGCUGCUUUGCUGACGAGUGGCGGACGGGUGAGUAAUGUCUGGGAAACUGCCUGAUGGAGGGGGAUAACUACUGGAAACGGUGGCUAAUACCGCAUAACGUCGCAAGACCAAAGAGGGGGACCUUCGGGCCUCUUGCCAUCAGAUGUGCCCAGAUGGGAUUAGCUUGUUGGUGAGGUAACGGCUCACCAAGGCGACGAUCCCUAGCUGGUCUGAAGGAUGACCAACCACCCUGGAACUGAGACACCGUCCCCACUCCUACCGGAGGCAGCAGUGGGGAAUAUUGCACAAUGGGCGCAAGCCUGAUGCAGCCAUGCCGCGUGUAUGAAGAAGGCCUUCGGGUUGUAAAGUACUUUCAGCGGGGAGGAAGGUGUUG
rnacentral:rRNA from 1 species